rnacentral:rRNA from 1 species
UAAGCGUCCUAAAGGGUUGUUCAAGACUAGAACGUUGAUAGGCAGGGUGUGUAAGCGCUGUGAGGCGUUGAGCUAACCUGUACUAAUUGCCCGUGAGGCUUAACCAUACAACACCCAAGGGGUUU